rnacentral:rRNA from 1 species
GAUGAACGCUGGCGGCGUGCCUAAUACAUGCAAGUCGAGCGAACGGACGAGAAGCUUGCUUCUCUGAUGUUAGCGGCGGACGGGUGAGUAACACGUGGAUAACCUACCUAUAAGACUGGGAUAACUUCGGGAAACCGGAGCUACUACCGGAUGAUAUUUUGAACCGCAUGGUUCAAAAGUGAAAGACGGUCUUGCUGUCACUUAUAGAUGGAUCCGCGCUGCAUUAGCUAGUUGGUAAGGUAACGGCUUACCAAGGCAACGAUGCAUAGCCGACCUGAGAGGGUGAUCGGCCACACUGGAAGUGAGACACGGCCCAGACUCCGACGGGAGGCAGCAGUAGGGAAUCUUCCGCAAUGGGCGAAAGCCUGACGGUGCAACGCCGCGUGAGUGAUGAAGGUCUUCGGAUCGGAAAACUCUGUUAUUAGGGAAGAACAUAUGUGUAAGUAACUGUGCACAUCUUGACGGUACCUAAUCAGAAAGCCACGGCUAACUACGUG